CUGUAGCCAGCUACUCACAAGAGGGGCUGCACCACCCCGGGGCGUUUUCAGGAACAUUGGCUCACCCUCUAUCAGUGUCAGUGAUAAUGCUGGGAUAAAACACCACAGCAUGCUUUCAUGAAGCAAGCCGCCAUGUUGGAGCAGCCCUCCUGGAAAAGAGCUGAGGAUGGCCUCUGGCCAACAGCCAGUGAGAAACUGAAUUCUGCCAACAGCCAUGAGUGACAUAUGGAAUGAUCAUCAACUUGGAUGUUUGAGGAUUGGCGGCAUUAGCUCCACCACCGCAGAGUUCUGAAGGGGAGCACUGUCAUGCCUGAUGCAGGGGGACCAUGCUGGUUGGAGACGCUGAAAUGGAAGGCGAGGGGGAAAAGAAGAUCGUGCCCACAUCAAACCCUCCAGGUGAAAAAACAAAGCAAAUCUGAAACGCAUUUUGCUUUUGGAGUAACAAAAAAGUAAAUGGAGAUGG